rnacentral:rRNA from 1 species
UACGGAGGGAGCUAGCGUUGUUCGGAAUUACUGGGCGUAAAGCGCACGUAGGCGGCUAUUCAAGUCAGGGGUGAAAGCCCGGAGCUCAACUCCGGAACUGCCUUUGAAACUAGAUAGCUAGAAUCUUGGAGAGGUGAGUGGAAUUCCGAGUGUAGAGGUGAAAUUCGUAGAUAUUCGCAAGAACACCAGUGGCGAAGGCGGCUCACUGGCCCGGUACUGACGCUGAGAUACGAAAGCGUGGGGAGCAAACAGG